rnacentral:rRNA from 1 species
CCCGCCAGACCUGACUGCUAUCGGAUUGAUACUAAGCCAUGCGAGUCGUUGUAGCAAUACAAGGCAUACGGCUCAGUAACGCGUAGUCAACCUAACCUAUGGACGGGAAUAACCUCGGGAAACUGAGAAUAAUGCCCGAUAGAACAUUAUGCCUGGAAUGGUUUAUGUUCCAAAUGAUUUAUCGCCAUAGGAUGGGACUGCGGCCUAUCAGUUUGUUGGUGAGGUAAUGGCCCACCAAGACUAUUACAGGUACGGGCUCUGAGAGGAGUAGCCCGGAGAUGGGUACUGAGACACGGACCCAGGCCCUAUGGGGCGCAGCAGGCGAGAAAACUUUGCAAUGUGCGAAAGCACGACAAGGUUAAUCCGAGUGAUUUCUGCUAAAGAGAUCUUUUGUUAGUCCUAGAAACACUAACGAAUAAGGGGUGGGCAAGUUCUGGUGUCAGCCGCCGCGGUAAAACCAGCACCUCAAGUGGUCAGGAUGAUUAUUGGGCCUAAAGCAUCCGUAGCCGGCUCUGUAAGUUUUCGGUUAAAUCUGUACGCUCAACGUACAGGCUGCCGGAAAUACUGCAGAACUAGGGAGUGGGAGAGGUAGACGGUACUCGGUAGGAAGUGGUAAAAUGCUUUGAUCUAUCGAUGACCACCUGUGGCGAAGGUGGUCUACCAGAACACGUCCGACGGUGAGGGAUGAAAGCUGGGGGAGCAAACCGGAUUAGAUACCCGGGUAGUCCCAGCUGUAAACUAUGCAAACUCAGUGAUGCAUUGGCUUGUGGCCAAUGCAGUGCUGCAGGGAAGCCGUUAAGUUUGCCGCCUGGGAAGUACGUACGCAAGUAUGAAACUUAAAGGAAUUGGCGGGGGAGCACCACAAGGGGUGAAGCCUGCGGUUCAAUUGGAGUCAACGCCGGG